rnacentral:rRNA from 1 species
AUCUGCCUCAGAGGGGAUACGGCCGGAAACGGCCGCUAAUACCCCAUAUGCCGAGAGGUGAAACGAAUUUCGCCUGAGGAUGAGCCCGCGUCUGAUUAGCUAGUUGGUGUGGUAAUGGCGCACCAAGGCUUCGAUCAGUAGCUGGUCUGAGAGGAUGAUCAGCCACACUGGGACUGAGACACGGCCCAGACUCCUACGGGAGGCAGCAGUGGGGAAUUUUCCGCAAUGGGCGAAAGCCUGACGGAGCAACGCCGCGUGAGGGACGAAGGCCUCUGGGCUGUAAACCUCUUUUCUCAAGGAAGAAGACAUGACGGUACUUGAGGAAUAAGCCACGGCUAAUUCCGUGCCAGCAGCCGCGGUAAUACGGGAGUGGCAAGCGUUAUCCGGAAUUAUUGGGCGUAAAGCGUCCGCAGGCGGCCUUGAAAGUCUGUUGUUAAAGCGUGGAGCUCAACUCCAUUUCAGCAAUGGAAACUACAAGGCUAGAGUGUGGUAGGGGCAGAGGGAAUUCCCGGUGUAGCGGUGAAAUGCGUAGAUAUCGGGAAGAACACCAGUGGCGAAGGCGCUCUGCUGGGCCAUAACUGACGCUCAUGGACGAAAGCCAGGGGAGCGAAAGGGAUUAGAUACCCCUGUAGUCCUGGCCGUAAACGAUGAACACUAGGUGUCGGGAGAAUUAACCCUCUCGGUGUCGUAGCCAACGCGUUAAGUGUUCCGCCUGGGGAGUACGCACGCAAGUGUGAAACUCAAAGGAAUUGACGGGGGCCCGCACAAGCGGUGGAGUAUGUGGUUUAAUUCGAUGCAACGCGAAGAACCUUACCAGGGUUUGACAUCCUGCGAAUCCCUUGGAAACGAGGGAGUGCCUUCGGGAACGCAGUGACAGGUGGUGCAUGGCUGUCGUCAGCUCGUGUCGUGAGAUGUUGGGUUAAGUCCCGCAACGAGCGCAACCCACGUCUUUAGUUGCCAGCAUUCAGUUGGGCACUCUAGAGAGACCGCCGGUGAUAAACCGGAGGAAGGUGUGGAUGACGUCAAGUCAUCAUGCCCCUUACAUCCUGGGCUACACACGUACUACAAUGCUACGGACAAAGGGCAGCAAACUCGCGAGAGCUAGCAAAUCCCAUAAACCGUGGCUCAGUUCAGAUCGUAGGCUGCAACUCGCCUACGUGAAGGAGGAAUCGCUAGUAAUCGCAGGUCAGCAUACUGCGGUGAAUACGCUCCCGGGCCUUGUACACACCGCCCGUCACACCAUGGAA